rnacentral:rRNA from 1 species
CCUACGGGGGGCAGCAGUGAGGAAUAUUGGUCAAUGGCCGCAGGUCUGAACCAGCCAAGUCGCGUGCGGGAUGACGGCCCUAUGGAUUGUAAACCUCUUUUGUCAGGGAGUAAACGGCGCCACGUGUGGCGUUUUGCGAGUAUCUUACGAAUAAGCAUCGGCUAACUCCGUGCCAGCAGCCGCGGUAAUACGGAGGAUUCGAGCGUUAUCCGGAUUUAUUGGGUUUAAAGGGUGCGUAGAUGGGUGGUUAAGUCAGUUGUGAAAGUCUGCGGCUCAACCGUGGAAUUGCAAUUGAUACUGGCAGGCUUGAGUGCAGUUGAGGUAGGCGGAAUUCGUGGUGUAGCGGUGAAAUGCUUAGAGAUCACGCAGAACCCCGAUUGCGAAGGCAGCUUACUAAGCUGUGACUGACGUUGAGGCUCGAAAGUGUGGGUAGCAAACAGGAUUAGAUACCCUUGUAGUC